rnacentral:rRNA from 1 species
ACGACGCUGGCGGCGCGCCUAACACAUGCAAGUCGAACGAGCGAGAGAGAGCUUGCUUUCGUCAAGCGAGUGGCGAACGGGUGAGUAACGCGUGAGGAACCCUGCCGUCAAAGAGGGGGACAACAGUUGGAAACGACUGCUAAUACCGCAUAAGCCCACGACCCGGCAUCAGGUAGAGGGAAAAGGAGCAAUCCGCUUUGAGAUGGACCCGCGUCUGAUUAGCUUGUUGGUGAGGUAACGGGCCCACCAAGGCGACGAUCAGUAGCCGGCCUGAGAGGGUGAACGGCCACAUUGGGACUGAGACACGGCCCAAACUCCUACGGGAGGCAGCAGUGGGGAAUAUUGCACAAUGGGGGAAACCCUGACGCAGCAACGCCGCGUGAAGGAUGAAGGUCUUCGGAUUGUAAACUUCUUUUAUUAAGGACGAAGAAAGUGACGGUACUUAAUGAAUAAGCUCCGGCUAACUACGUG